rnacentral:tRNA from 1 species
AAGGAUUUAAGUUAAUAAAACUAUCGACCUUCAAAGCCGAAAAUAGAGAUUUUUCUAAGCCUUA